AGCUUUGCACAGUGGCAGUAUCAUAGCCAAUGAGGUUAAUCCAAGGUGUGAUUAUUGCUAAUUGAAAUUGUUUCCCAAUACUCUGCCAUGAUGACAUUAAUUGAUAUUAAUGUGUGCUUUUGUGUGUAUAUGCAACACUGCA